UACGUAGGCAGCAAGCGUUGUUCGGAAUUACUGGGCGUAAAGAGUGUGUAGGCGGUGCUCUAAGUUCGGUGUGAAAUCUCCUGGCUCAACUGGUAGGGUGCGCCGGAAACUGGGGUGCUGGAGCGCGGGAGAGGAAAGCGGAAUUCCUGGUGUAGCGGUGAAAUGCGUAGAUAUCAGGAGGAACACCGGCGGUGUAGACGGCUUUCUGGACCGUAGCUGACGCUGAGACACGAAAGCGUGGGUAGCAAACAGG
rnacentral:rRNA from 1 species